AAAAAAGCUCAUUUGAGAGAAAAUGCCAGGAGAGGGUCAUGUUCUGAACCACAGCUUCUGCUUUGUUACAAAUUGGCUGACCUGUUCCCAUUUAGGGCA